GACGAACGCUGGCGGCGUGCUUAACACAUGCAAGUCGAGCGGUAAGGCCUUUCGGGUACACGAGCGGCGAACGGGUGAGUAACACGUGGGUGACCUGCCUUUAGCUUCGGGAUAAGCCUGGGAAACCGGGUCUAAUACCGGAUAUGACCUCAUGUCGCAUGGUGUGGGGUGGAAAGUUCUUCGGCUAGAGAUGGCCGCGCUAUCAGCUUGUUGGUGGGGUGAUGGCCUACCAAGGCGACGACGGGUAGCCGGCCUGAGAGGGCGACCGGCCGACCACUGGGACGUGAGGAUACGGCCCAGACUCCUACGGGAGGCAGCAGUGGGGAAUAUUGCGCAAUGGGCGGAAGCCUGACGCAGCGACGCCGCGUGGGGAUGACGGCC
rnacentral:rRNA from 1 species